AACGAACGCUGGCGGCAUGCCUAACACAUGCAAGUCGAACGAGACCUUCGGGUCUAGUGGCGCACGGGCGCGUAACGCGUGGGAACCUGCCCUUAGGUUCGGAAUAGCUCCCCGAAAGGGGUGCUAAUACCGGAUAAUGUCUUCGGACCAAAGAUUUAUCGCCUUUGGAUGGGCCCGCGUUGGAUUAGCUAGUUGGUAGGGUAAAAGCCUACCAAGGCGACGAUCCAUAGCUGGUCUGAGAGGAUGAUCAGCCACACUGGGACUGAGACACGGCCCAGACUCCUACGGGAGGCAGCAGUGGGGAAUAUUGGACAAUGGGCGAAAGCCUGAUCCAGCAAUGCCGCGUGAGUGAUGAAGGCCUUAGGGUUGUAAAGCUCUUUUACCCGGGAUGAUAAUGACAGUACCGGGAGAAUAAGCUCCGGCUAACUCCGUG
rnacentral:rRNA from 1 species